UUUUUCCCCAACCGCUCUAAUCUGCCCCAAAUGCUUCCUUAUAUGAAGCCAAAUUUGUCUCUCCUUAACCUCUACCCUCUGCUCUGGUCUUAGUUCAGCCUCCGCCUCUGGGGCCUUAGUAAACAAGUCCAAUCACCUUUCCACGAGACCCGUUAUCUAAUUGUAGGUGGGAUUAAUAUACUUCUCUGCCCAAACAGCUCCAGCCCUUUAAACUGCCUUUUAUUGAUUGGUAACAUCGGGAACUAUGGACCAAUUCACUUCUAGGCCAGGAUGCCAGGUAUUUGAAAUCCAUUUAGCUGCAGCAACCAACUUGCCUUGGGUGAAGAAGGUCUCACAGAUGUCUACUGAUUUCUCUGGAUCCCACCCAGAAUGCCACAUGACGUUCAGAAGUCUUGUCUCCUUAGGCUCCUCCAGACUGACAAUUUCUCAAACUUUGUUUUUGAUGACCUUGACGAUUUUGAGGUGGUAUGAUAAUUUGUGAAGUGUUUCUCAUGCUUAGCCUGGAGUUACAAGAUAGGAGAAAAAGACCAAAGAUGUGAAGUGCCAUUCUCAUAACAUCAUGUCAAGGGUAAUGCUAUUUAUAUGAAUUAUCAUCGAUGAUGUUAACCUUGAUGUCCUGGCUGAGGUCGUUUAUUAGGUUUUUUCUCUACCAAGUUACUCCCCGCCCCGUACCUUUCCUGACUGUGUUUUUGGGAAGGAAGUCACUAUGUGCAGCUCACACGUAAGGUAUGGGAAGUUACACUCCAACAUCCUUUGGCAGGGUAGUAUCUAUUCAUACAUAAAUAACUUGAAAUUUUUCUGUAUGGGAAAUUUUCUACCUCAUUAAUUUAUUUAUUUAGUCAUUUGCUUGCCUCAGUAAUGACUCAUGAAUGUUUAUGCUUUGGGUUGUAUUCCAAAUGUAGUAUAAUAUUUAUUUAUUUUAUUGUUCAGUCAGUUGCCCUAGCUUUGAUAUUUGAGAGGUCUUUUAAUUGGCUCUGUGUCUCCUCAAUAUACCCCCUUAUUAGAUUUUUCUUCAUUAUUUUCUGGCACUACAGAUGCUUCAGGCUCAUUCAUCUUGCAUAUUACCUGACCCUGCCCUUGAAGCAGCCAAUUUUCCAAGGAGCCCUGAUUCCCUUCCCUGGAGAAUGGUUGAACAUGCUCUUUGCUACUGGAGUAUCUUUUGUUUCUAGGCCCUCUCAGUGGACAGAUUUAAGAAAUAACCCACGUAUACGCACAUAUAUAUAUAUACACACAAAAUUACUUCUUUAUCUAUUUGUGUCUACAUUAAGGUAAAUAUGAGUUCACACUAAUAUUUCCCACUCUAAUCCAGUACCACAUGGUUUCUUCUAGCCUGCUAAUAUUUUAUUAGCUAUUCAUUCAUUCACUUAUUGAUUCAUUCAGCAAAUUUUGUUGAGUGUCUGUUAUAUGCCAGGCCCUGUGCUCAGCACUAAGGAUUAGAGAGCCUGGUGGAUACUAUCCCUACUCUCAUGUAGCUUAGAAUCCAUUUACACGUUACAUUUUUACUUUAGUUCUUUGGUACUACCAAGGAAUGACGUCGAUCACAAUAGCCUAUUUCCAUAUCCCUCUGCGUUUUCCCACCAUAGUCCAUUCUCCCAUUUCCAAGACUGUGCUACCUUCUAUUGAUCAUCUGUUUUCCUCUCUACCCUCAUUUCUCCUCUGUCAGCUCUUUGCCCUGUGGGAUUUUCACCUUUCAUUAAAACACUGCAGCAGAAGAGUGGCUUAGAUGCUAAAUAAGAGUAUUACACCCCCUAUUUGUGUUGCACAUUUGAAAGCUCUUUCACAUCUCAUUUGUGAGUAUACAAUUAUGUAAAGAAUGAUAGGGUAUUACCAAGGUGCUUUGUUUGGGGUGGCAUCUUAUGAUUGCCGCUCACAUAUAAAUUCGUAUGGGAUUUGUCAUCACCUACUGCUAUCUGGAAUUGGAGGCCCUGUGUUAGUUUCUUAGGAAGACAAUCUCUACUGAUGCAAAACUGUACGGUACCUCUGAUUUUAAUGCUUUUCUUUUCUGUUUACUGAAAAUAUUUUCAUGCUUUUCAUGCUUUAAUGAUUUUAAUGCUUUUCUUUGCUGUUCAUUGAAAAUCCAUCAUUAUAUCUCCUUCACUCUGAAGAUCGUUAUAUUUACCUGCCUUCUUUUUUCUUGAGUAAACGUUCUAGAAAUUUAUCAAUUUUAGUAGUCUUUCUAAUAACAACUUUGGGCUUGUUUGAUCCUCUCUAUUGUGUGUUUGUUUUCUGUUUCAUUAUGUUUUGCCCUUUUUUAUUUCCUUACUUUUAUUUUCUAUAUUCUGUUCUCAAAUUUAUAAAGUUGAAUGCUUAGCACAUUGAUUUUAGCCUUUUUAAAUUUGGUAAUAUAAUAAUUUAAGCCCUCAUAUUUCCCUCUAAUUGCUACUUUGGCUUCACAUUACAAGCAUUAAUAUACAGAGCAUGUAUUAUUGUUUAGUGCUUUACAAUUUCUAAUUUUCACUGUAAUUUAUUUUUUGACCCAUGAAUUAUUAGCAUGUUGAUUUUGUUUUCAAAUGUGUGUGUUUCCCCAAGUUAUAUAUUUAAUUUUGAUUUCUAUUUAAUUGUAUUAUGAUUAGUUUUUUAAAAUGAUGUUCUUUGAAUUCUUUAUCUAGGUCUAAUCUGCUGUUUAACAUUUCAUUGUAUUUUAAUUAUUUGUUUUAAAAAUUUCAGCUCUUGUACAUCUAUAUGAUUCACUUCUUUCAAGUCUACCUGGUACUUUGUUUAGAGAGUAUCUUACUCCUUGAUCCACUUAAUGCUCUCUUUUAUUUCUUUUGACAUUUUAAGCAUACUUACUCUAUAUUCUUAAUUGAUAAUUCUACCGUUAGAAGCAUUAGGUGUGUUUGAAUAUAUCUUUGUUGUUUCUACUGUUAUUCAAGGACUGAUGUCUCCUUGUGCAUUUUAUUAUUAUUUUCUAUAAGUUAAUAUUAAUGAAAUAUUUGAGGCCUGGAUUAAAGGUGUCUUUCUCUCAUAAAUAUGUGUAUGCUAAUUUUUGAUCUGAAGUUUUAUGGACCACUUACUACAAACCUGUGUGAAGGUGGGCUUGAAAUCUCGGGAAACAUUUAUUUUUCACUCUGCUCCGGAGCUGGGACAAGCACAUUUCUUUGCUGUCAUUGUCUGCGGGGUGGGAUUUAUGUAUGUGUGUAUCUCAGUUUUCCAUUUUACUAAGGGUAUACUCCUUUAGGUCGCAGCUCUGUGUGGGAGCCUGCUAUAGAUCACCUAUGUGUAGAGGCUAUGGCCAUUGUCUCUAGUCCCUCUACUUUCCUCAGGGUUGUCAGAAUGGAAGCUCAUGGUUAUUUUGAUGCUUCCUUACCUUUCUGUUUUCCUGCUUUCACUUUGUCUUUUGGCCUUUGAUGAAUUCCCUUCCGUACUUAUCAGCUCAAUUAUAUAUUUUUUAAAAUUAUUUUAUUCAGAAUCAUAACAUAUUUUGUAAUAAGAACGUUGUUCAUUGUAUUGAGUGUAUCAUGCUGUCAGAAACAUAAAUUUUAUAAUCUUUCUUCAAAUUAUCUAUCCUUGACAAGGCAGCUUUAAAAAUGAAACAAUAAAACUAUGAAACAGAAUGUAACUGCUUUCCUUUUAAAUUAAUUAUCCCCACAUUAAAGAAUUUCUAUGACCAACUGGUGAAAGUCUGAUAAUUUUGCUUCAAUAUUUGCAGCCUUACGUGUAUUUAU